rnacentral:rRNA from 1 species
GACGAACGCUGGCGGCGUGCUUAACACAUGCAAGUCGAACGGAAAGGCCCUGCUUUUGUGGGGUGCUCGAGUGGCGAACGGGUGAGUAACACGUGAGUAACCUGCCCUUGACUUUGGGAUAACUUCAGGAAACUGGGGCUAAUACCGGAUAGGAGCUCCUGCUGCAUGGUGGGGGUUGGAAAGUUUCGGCGGUUGGGGAUGGACUCGCGGCUUAUCAGCUUGUUGGUGGGGUAGUGGCUUACCAAGGCUUUGACGGGUAGCCGGCCUGAGAGGGUAACCGGCCACAUUGGGACUGAGAUACGGCCCAGACUCCUACGGGAGGCAGCAGUGGGGAAUAUUGCACAAUGGGCGGAAGCCUGAUGCAGCAACGCCGCGUGCGGGAUGACGGCCUUCGGGUUGUAAACCGCUUUCGCAUGUGACGAAGCGUGAGUGACGGUAAUGGGUAAAGAAGCACCGGCUAACUACGUGCCAGCAGCCGCAGUAA